rnacentral:lncRNA from 1 species
ACAGAUUUCACAAACUCAAUUGCAUCAUCAUACAUUGUUCUUACCAAAUUCAAAUCAUACAUUCACAGUCUUAUCAUUCACAUAUCAAUUAGCACAUGUUCUAACAUGAAAUUUCAUCAUAUUUUAGUUCAAACAGCCAAAAGAUACCCAAACCAGUUUUACAUACACAUCGUUCCACCAUUUCAAACAGAAUCAGAAAUCAUGCCACCCUAAUUCAUUAAACAAAAAUUAAAACCUAAACUUUCCUUACCUCUGAUUCCAGCAGCUAACUCAAGAAGACUCCAAACACACCUUAUCGGUUUCAAAAACGCUAUAAUCACUUAUAAAUCAUCAUUUGGUGAUAAAAUUCAAAUUUAAGAAUUUAAUUGAAGCUAGAAUUGGAAAGAAGACAAAAAGGACUACAUACAACAGGAUUAUUACAUGAUCACCACCCUAAUUUGAAUGGGAGAAGGAAAGAAACACUUAUUAGAUAAGGAGUACCAACUGGACUGGAAAGAUGGAGGAUUCUCACCCCUUAAGCAUUAUCUAUUCGAAGAAAAGGAGAAGAUUAGAGUGAGAUCUUCAAAAGAGAAGAAAAUUGUAGAGAGCUGGAGGAGGAAUUAAGUUCAGAAAAUGUUAGAGAGAAGAGGUGUGUGCAGGAAAGAUUCAGCGUUUAAAAUUUUGUAUGUAUAUACAUGACACCUUCACCUUUUAGUCUGCCUCUUGCCCACAC